GAGAUGUGGUAAAAAUCUGCCACUAAAUAACUAUUUCGGUUUUUAUUACUUCCGUGUGCACACGCGCACGUGCACUCACGCCGCACCUGUAAGCCUCACAAAAAAAUGUGAGUAACAAUCCACCUGAGGGAGGGACUAUCUGCCGUCUUUCACCACGAAUUCAGUCGUGUAGUGAAAUCAAGCUUUGUAGUUUUUUUUUCUUUUCCUCCUCUUAACAUCCAACAUGGUUCAUUAUCUAUUGUUGGGAGCCAUGCCGAGGUCUUUUCUCAUUGCGGAUGGACACGAUCCUUCAUUGGGAGUGCCGUGACUGGUCCAGUUAAUGACGCAAGCCCGGCUGGCGACAGUGGAUCAUCAUCAUCAUCAUCAUCAUCAUAAUGCACCACCGGGAUAAACUGCCGGUGUGCCGCAAAUAGGUGGUGGUCUGAGGAGCCACCAGGGUAAAAUGUGGAACACUGACAGCAAUGUUUGUUCAAGCUUUAUAAAUGAGAUCAACAACAAAAAAAUAAGAGUUAUUCAUGCCAUCACUCCACCUGUAGGAAGUCAGGAGUCGUAUCUAGCAAUAAAUAAAAUACCUUCCUCAUGUAAAUCUAUUUACUCAUCACCUUUUCACUGAAGAACCGACUCCUGAGGCAGGAAACUAGAAGAAGAAAAAAAAAGCCACAUUUGCUCUGUGCGUCUCUGGUUGCAGAGGGCAGACAGACAGGCAGGGCACAGACAGGAUGCGCUCCCCGGGGGCUCCGAGAGGCCCCUAGAGACAUCCGCAUCAGCGCAAGCCCUAGACCUCAAGCUUGCAUAAGAAAAACAGCACUAUGAAGAACUUCAUUUACCCAGACCGCAAAAACGCUUGCUGGACUCUUUCCAAGAGGAUGUCCACAUGAGGAUGCAAAGGGAUGACUGUGGCGGUAAAUAACCUAACGCAGGGUUCCCCGCUCCUUCUUUCAUGUCAAGAAAAGGCCACUCAUGAUAAUGCGGGCCCCUAUGCCCCCGUGAAAUGUUAUUUAGCUGACCCCAGUUAACUUCACGAGGAUUUUAGCGGUUAAAUCUAAUUUUAUAGCAAAUUAAAUAAAAUGUAAGUGGAGUCAGAUCCUGCAUUUUUCUAGUGAUAAUAUUUGAUAGAUAGUUAGCUCUGAAGGGUGCCUGACAGAGACCCUACUCAGUGACACUGUGCACCCUGUGUUAAGAUACUGCAGAAUAUUUAACAGAUGCAUUAAGAUGACAUUAAGCGUGAAGCUUUGUGUGAGAAGAGACAGGAUGCUGAUUGAAAGAAGAGCAGAAUACUACCUAACACGUUUUCAAAUGCUAUUAAAAUGUUAAACACAGUGUAAAAUCUCUUGGGAUUAUGUUUGAUCCUAAUGCAAAUUCCUUGAGCUCCAUGAGAAAUAACUGGUUCCAUCCUGCUGUUUUUUUUAAUUUUUAUUUAUAAGUAACUCCUGUAGAUUAAAGAUUUGGAGAAAGA